rnacentral:lncRNA from 1 species
UUCAAUCUUAUCCCUUGACCUAAGGGAGUUUGGGGUUGUUAUUGUUGUUGUUUUUGCUACUGGGGAUUGAACUCAGGGGAGCUACACCCCCAGCCUUUCUAUCUUUUAUUUUGAGACAGUGUCUUGCUAAGCUGCCCAGGUUGGUCCCAAACUUGCAAUCAUCCUGCCUUGGCCUCCUCAGUUGCUGGGAUUACAGAUGUGUGGCACUGCACUUGGCAGAAGAACCUUUUAUGAUAUUUCCAGGAAGGUCAAUGGGUCCCAGACAGGUGGGUGUCUCAGUUGUCCAGUAUUUCAGGAAGUAGC